rnacentral:rRNA from 1 species
AAUAUUGCGCAAUGGAGGGAACUCUGACGCAGCGACGCCGCGUGAGCGAUGAAGGUUUUCGGAUCGUAUCGCUCUGUCCUUGUGGAAGAGGCGGCCAUUGUUGGCAUCUUGACGGUACCCAAGGAGGCAGCCCAGGCUAACUACGUACCAGCAGCCGCGGUAAUACGUAGGGGGCAAGUGUUGUCCGGAAUUAUUGGGCGUAAAGGGGGCGUAGGGGGCCUUUUAAGUCAGAUGUGAAAGACCACGGCUUAACCGUGGGGAUGCAUUUGAAACUGGAGGGCUUGAGUAUCGGAGAGGGUAGUGGAAUUCCCAGUGUAGCGGUGGAAUGCGUAGAUAUUGGGAGGAACACCAGUGGCGAAGGCGACUACCUGGACGAAAACUGACGCUGAGGCACGAAAGCUAGGGGAGCAAACA